rnacentral:rRNA from 1 species
GAUGAACGCUGGUGGCGUGCCUAAUACAUGCCAGUAGAAUGCUGAAGGAGGAGCUUGCUCUUCUGGAUGAGUUGCGAACGGGUGAGUAACGCGUAGGUAACCUGCCUGGUAGCGGGGGAUAACUAUUGGAAACGAUAGCUAAUACCGCAUGACAACAGUUAUUGCAUGAUAACUGUUUAAAAGGGGCAACUGCUCCACUACCAGAUGGACCUGCGUUGUAUUAGCUAGUUGGUGAGGUAACGGCUCACCAAGGCGACGAUACAUAGCCGACCUGAGAGGGUGAUCGGCCACACUGGGACUGAGACACGGCCCAGACUCCUACGGGAGGCAGCAGUAGGGAAUCUUCGGCAAUGGACGGAAGUCUGACCGAGCAACGCCGCGUGAGUGAAGAAGGUUUUCGGAUCGUAAAGCUCUGUUGUAAGAGAAGAACGAGUGUGAGAGUGGAAAGUUCACACUGUGACGGUAUCUUACCAGAAAGGGACGGCUAACUACGUG